ensembl:snRNA
AUAUUGUACAAAAGGAGAGAAGGUUAGCUCUCCCCUGACAAGGAUGGAUGAAGACCUUGGGCCUGACAACACACCCAUGGUUAAGGUAUUGCCACCUACUUUGUGGCAUCUAAGCAUCAUUUUUA